GCUUAUCACCAUUCCAAAUUGAAUAUACCCGAUCUCGUCUGAUCUCGAAAGUCAAGCAAUCUCGGGCUUGGUUAGUACUUGGAUGGGUGACCGC
rnacentral:rRNA from 1 species